GCCCACUUAGCUCAGAGGUUAGCGCAUCGCAUUUGUAAUGCGAGGGUCAUCGGUUCAAAUCCGAUAGUCGGCU
rnacentral:tRNA from 1 species